rnacentral:siRNA from 1 species
UGAGAUGGUCAAUAUGGUUGGU